AGAGCGAACGCUGGCGGCAGGCCUAACACAUGCAAGUCGAGCGCCCCGCAAGGGGAGCGGCAGACGGGAGAGUAACACGUGGGAACGUACCCUUUGGUUCGGAACAACUCAGGGAAACUUGAGCUAAUACCGGAUACGCCCUUACGGGGAAAGAUUUAUUGCCGAAGGAACGGCCCGCGUCCGAUUAGCUAGUUGGUGAGGUAAUGGCUCACCAAGGCGACGAUCGGUAGCUGGUCUGAGAGGAUGACCAGCAUCACUGGGACUGAGACACGGCCCAGACUCCUACGGGAGGCAGCAGUGGGGAAUAUUGGACAAUGGGCGCAAGCCUGAUCCAGCCAUGCCGCGUGGAUGAUGAAGGCCUUAGGGUUGUAAAGUCCUUUUAACGGGGAAGAUAAUGACGGUACCCGUAGAAUAAGCCCCGGCUAACUUCGUGCCAGCAGCCGC
rnacentral:rRNA from 1 species